rnacentral:rRNA from 1 species
AUUGAACGCUGGCGGCAGGCCUAACACAUGCAAGUCGAGCGGAUGAAGGGAGCUUGCUCCUGGAUUCAGCGGCGGACGGGUGAGUAAUGCCUAGGAAUCUGCCUGGUAGUGGGGGAUAACGUCCGGAAACCGGCGCUAAUACCGCAUACGUCCUGAGGGAGAAAGUGGGGGAUCUUCGGACCUCACGCUAUCAGAUGAGCCUAGGUCGGAUUAGCUAGUUGGUGGGGUAAAGGCCUACCAAGGCGACGAUCCGUAACUGGUCUGAGAGGAUGAUCAGUCACACUGGAACUGAGACACGGUCCAGACUCCUACGGGAGGCAGCAGUGGGGAAUAUUGGACAAUGGGCGAAAGCCUGAUCCAGCCAUGCCGCGUGUGUGAAGAAGGUCUUCGGAUUUUAAAGCACUUUAAGUUGGGAGGAAGGGAAGUAAGUUAAUACCUUGCUGUUUUGACGUUACCAACAGAAAAAGCACCGGCUAACUUCGUG